ACGGAGGAUGCAAGCGUUAUCCGGAUUUAUUGGGUUUAAAGGGUGCGCAGGUUGUUUGACAAGUCAGUGGUGAAAGUCUGCCGCUUAACGGAAGGAUUGCCAUUGAUACUGUUGGACUUGAGUAUGGAUAAGGUAUGCGGAAUGUGUAGUGUAGCGGUGAAAUGCAUAGAUAUUACACAGAACACCGAUUGCGAAGGCAGCAUACUGGGCCAUUACUGACGCUGAGGCACGAAAGCGUGGGGAUCAAACAG
rnacentral:rRNA from 1 species